UCUCUUUCAUAUCUAGGUACACAUCAGGCAAAUGCAGUUGUUGGUUUUUCCUAUUUCUUUUGACCUGCCAGGCUGAAUCCAAGUCUUUUUGCCAAUAGCUUGUGGGAAGUUAUAGGAAGACAUCCUUAAUUGUCUUCUGUCUCAGCCUGGAAUAUGCCAGGCCCACAAGCAUGUUAUACCCAGCUGUUUCUUUUCUUCACUAUCUGAAUGUGCUUUGUUCAGCUAAUGUUGUUGCUGAGAUCCACAGACCGAAGCGCUAUUUAAGAAAUGGACCUGUAACAAGAAUUAUUGGAACACAGUGCCCCUGAUCCUCAAUAUAAAAGAAACAUACAAACAAGCAACAAUUCCAAGUGAAAGACUUGUGCGAAGUCAUGAGAGAAGAUACAUGGUAGAGUUUUAGGAUCUCUGAAAACUUUGAUGGUUUUCAGAAUUGCGAUGCUAAGUUUGAGGUACCUCCAGGACUCUCCUGUCAUCAUUCAUCGAACUGGAGGAAGGAUUUUUUCCUCUGUGUAGGAUGAGAACUGAUUUUCAGUGCCUACAGAUGAAUGUUACUGUGUCUUGUAAAUAUGCAUAAAGAUUGUGUACUUGCAGAUCUGAACUUUACCGAUGCUAUUUGCUUCCUGAAAAGAUCUACAAACAUAGUACAGCAAAUCACUUUGGGAUAACUGAUUAGACC
ensembl:lncRNA